AUCGUCUCCAUUACAGUCGCGACAGUGCAUGUGCCGACGCCGCCCAAACAGUUUGCGCACACAAUAUGAAUACCAUCCGAUUUUUUUUCACCGCCACCGUAGCGUUUCUCGUUGUCGCGAUCGGCGGCAGAGGCGCGUCUUGCGUUGAUAAUUUCGUGCGGGGCUAUAAGUGCUGCCCGUGGGACCGGCUGUACGAUCCGGAAAUGAGGUUCUGCAGACCGCACGGGACGGACGUUGAAGUGUACCUCCAGAGGUUCACGAAUCGACUGCGGCACGGAUUUCGGGUGCCACACAAUGAUUUGUUGGAUAUGACCUAUUAUCUGCCGCCAUAUUGCAACGACACGGAUGUGCUAGUCGACGUGCCCGCCGUGGAGGUGCGUGGGCUGAUGGAGGCGCACCCGUCGCCCACCGAGUUUCCGCCCGACCACUGCUUCGACCUGACGCCGUCCAAUGAGCUGGUGGCCCGGGGGUGCCGGCCGCACGACCAAUACUGCGGCCGGGCCAAUUACACGUGCGUCAACAAGUGCUGCGGCGUCGGAAGUAUGUACGUCGAAGACCCCAACGAAAAGGGCCCCCGGACGUGCAAAUAUAGCGAGAUGCCAUUCACGUUGUCUGCGUAUGAAGCAGACGCAUGCGGAAGUCUGGUGAGCCUGUCGAACAACACGGUGUUGCCGUUCCACGGCGGACUCUCGUGUAACACUACCGAUCUAAUGGGCAACAGGUUCAUGUUGACCACGGAUGGCAACCUUCACCUUAUGUCUGAAUUCGACGAAUGGAUCAUACCAGACACGGAUUACUGCGUCGAGUAUUACGCCUUUGACAUGCCACUGGAGGCCAACGAUCUAAAGGCACACGUGUGCACGAAUGCCAAACAACCACCGGUCGGUUUCGUCCUUUUGGUUAUUUUUACUGCGUCUAUCGUGUGCCUGGUGCUCACGCUGAUCGUAUACGCCACAGUGCCUUACCUCCGGAACGCCCACGGCUACUACGUUAUGUUCUACAUGGCCUGCCACCUAGUGUACUUCGUCUGCAGAAUGAUCAAGCUGACGAUAAAUGACGACAUAGACAGCCCGUUGUGCAUUCCAUUCGGUUAUUUAUCUUUAUUUACAACUAUAGCCACAUGUUGCUGGUUAAACGUAAUAUGCUUCGAUAUUUACUGGAUGUUAAGGUACAACAAUUCAACAAACAGAAAUACAUCUAAAUCAGUACGUACCAUUAUGUACCAUAUUUACUGUUGGGGAUUUUCAACUACUAUCGUAUCUACUGGUUAUUUAUUUCAACAUUCACAAAACGAAAAGCUACGGAAAUUAGCACCGGAUAUUGGAAAAUAUAAAUGCGAUUUUUACACAUACAAUCACUACGGAACUUUUAUCUUCUACUGGCUACCCACCUGUGGUAUGCUGACUGCCAAUUUAAUUUUGUUCUUACUAAUUAAUGGUAUUCAGUGUCCAAAAAUUAAACCAGAACUCAACAAGAUCAAACGAACCGAUUCAAAAACAGAAAUUUGUCUUGUUUACAAAGAGAGGUACAACAAUUCAACAAACAGAAAUACAUCAAAACCAGUACGUACUAUUAUGUACCAUAUUUACUGUUGGGGAUUUUCAAGUAUUAUCAUAUCUACUGGUUAUUUAUUUCAACAUUCAUAAAACGAAACGCUAUGGGAAUUAGCACCCGAUAUUGGAAUAUAUAAAUGCAAUUUUUACAGGUGUCGGUUCUGGACAUUUAAUAAGGAGUAAAAUUUAGGCAAUUCAAUUCGCAUGUGGUAUUUGCCUGGGGCGUAAUGUGCAUGUGUGUGAGCAUGUGAUAUUUUGUGUGUGACCUAUGAUAUUUCCACAUCCGUCAAAAAUAAAAUCCUUUUGUCAUGGCAACACCAUUGUGACUCCAUACCAACUACCAACAAACUUAAGUCCAUUAAAAGUUCAGUGAAACAGCGGUAUACAGCUGCAGACCUCAGCCGACGUUAAGAUAUUGCGUUCACUUGUAUAAGAAUCGGCCACACUUUCACUACACACACCUUCCUAAUCAGCAAAGAUCAUCUACCUACAUGUAGCAUACGUCAAACUCGCAUCACUAUAAAACACAUACUCCAAGAUUGCCCCACAUACGAACCAGUACGCACGCCGUCAACUUUCCGCAUGACAUCAAGGAAAUUCUCGACGAAGGACAAACACUAAAUAUUAUCAAGUUCGUCAGUAUAUGCAACCUCAUCAACAAAUUCUAAUUCAGCUAAUCUUUCUUGUAAACACAAUUAAUAAUCUAACUAUAAAUAUGUAAUUAUGUUUUUCAACUGUAUAUGUAUAUAAAUAUCAAACAAUUGUGAUAUACUUUUAUCAUUUAUCGAAUCCGUUAAGUUAUGUCGCAUAAACCAUUGCGGUAGCAGUGGUUAUCUGUUAUUUCUAUCAAUAAAACUUCAUUAUCACCAUUA